ACUAGUAUGAAUGGCUAAAUGAGGACUAAACUGUCUCUUACGGACAGCCAAUGAAAUUGAUCUCCCAGUACAAAAGCUGGAAUAUACCCAUAAGACGAGAAGACCCUGUGGAGCUUAAAAAUCAAACCCAACAAACAUGGGUUUUGAGUUUUUAGUUGGGGCGACUUCGGAGUACAAAAAAACCUCCAAAAACCAGCCAUCAAGAUCAACACACCAAAACAGCUACAUUAGACCCAGCAACUUCCAAGUUGUCUGACCAAUGAACCAAGUUACCCCAGGGAUAACAGCGCCAUCCCCUUCUAGAGUCCUUAUCGACAAGGGGGUUUACGACCUCGAUGUUGGAUCAGGACACCCCAAUGGUGCAGCCGCCAUUAAAG
rnacentral:rRNA from 1 species